rfam:Mesocricetus auratus contig047754, whole genome shotgun sequence.
GGAGAUAUAGCUUAGUGGUUAAGAGCACUGACUGCUCUUCCAGAGGACCUGGGUUCAAUUCCCAGUACCCACA